rnacentral:rRNA from 1 species
CUACGUGCCAGCAGCCGCGGUAAUACGGAAGGUCCAGGCGUUAUCCGGAUUUAUUGGGUUUAAAGGGUGCGUAGGCCGUUUGAUAAGCGUGCUGUGAAAUAUAGUGGCUCAACCUCUAUCGUGCAGCGCGAACUGUUGAACUUGAGUGCGUAGUAGGUAGGCGGAAUUCGUGGUGUAGCGGUGAAAUGCUUAGAUAUGACGAAGAACUCCGAUUGCGAAGGCAGCUGACGGGAGCGCAACUGACGCUUAAGCUCGAAGGUGCGGGUAUCAAACAGGAUUAGAUACCCUGGUAGUCCGCACAGUAAACGAUGGAUGCCCGCUGUUGGUACCUGGUAUCAGCGGCUAAGCGAAAGCAUUAAGCAUCCCACCUGGGGAGUACGCCGGCAACGGUGAAACUCAAAGGAAUUGACGGGGGCCCGCACAAGCGGAGGAACAUGUGGUUUAAUUCGAUGAUACGCGAGGAACCUUACCCGGGCUUGAA